rnacentral:tRNA from 1 species
AGCAAAGCAAGGCACUGAAAAUGCCUAGAUGAGUAUAUUAACUCCAUAAACA